UACACUCCUACGGGAGGCAGCAGUGGGGAAUAUUGGACAAUGGGCGCAAGCCUGAUCCAGCCAUGCCGCGUGAGUGAUGAAGGCCCUAGGGUUGUAAAGCUCUUUCACCGGUGAAGAUAAUGACGGUAACCGGAGAAGAAGCCCCGGCUAACUUCGUGCCAGCAGCCGCGGUAAUAAGAAGGGGGCUAGCGUUGUUCGGAUUUACUGGGCGUAAAGCGCACGUAGGCGGACUAUUAAGUCAGGGGUGAAAUCCCGGGGCUCAACCCCGGAACUGCCUUUGAUACUGGUAGUCUUGAGUUCGAGAGAGGUGAGUGGAAUUCCGAGUGUAGAGGUGAAAUUCGUAGAUAUUCGGAGGAACACCAGUGGCGAAGGCGGCUCACUGGCUCGAUACUGACGCUGAGGUGCGAAAGCGUGGGGAGCAAACAGGAUUAGAAACCCUUGUAGUCCCAUG
rnacentral:rRNA from 1 species